rnacentral:rRNA from 1 species
GACGAACGCUGGCGGCGUGCUUAACACAUGCAAGUCGAACGAUGAACCCGGAGCUUGCUCCGGUGGAUUAGUGGCGAACGGGUGAGUAACACGUGAGUAACCUGCCCUUGACUCUGGGAUAACUGCGGGAAACUGUAGCUAAUACCGGAUACGACCCUCGGCGGCAUCGCCAGGGGGUGGAAAGAAUUUCGGUAAAGGAUGGACUCGCGGCCUACCAGCUAGUUGGUGAGGUAACGGCUCACCAAGGCGACGACGGGUAGCCGGCCUGAGAGGGUGACCGGCCACACUGGGACUGAGACACGGCCCAGACUCCUACGGGGGGCAGCAGUGGGGAAUAUUGCACAAUGGGCGCAAGCCUGAUGCAGCAACGCCGCGUGAGGGAUGACGGCCUUCGGGUUGUAAACCUCUUUUAGUAGGGAAGAAGCGAAAGUGACGGUACCUGCAGAAAAAGCACCGGCUAACUACGUGCCAGCCGCCGCCGUAA